UAGGGCGUGCUUCAUAGGAUCAUUUCUAUAGUGCGAUCGCCGAGACGCAUCCGCGAUCUCGGAACACCCUUGUCCACGAUGAUGAGUUGUGGGUUUCCGCUUGAGCGUGAAGCUGGUUUCGGUAACUGGGGCUUGCUCUAGACCGAAGCUCUGAUGACCGCCCUCAGGCAUUAUUAGUGCCCGAGGAAGGCGGAGACCCAGUCUGAGUGAC